AAUGUAAAACGAUAUAAGUGUGAAGAU
rnacentral:guide_RNA from 1 species